UGGCUCAGGACGAACGCUGGCGGCGUGCCUAAGCUUAUGCAAGUCGAACGCGAACGGCUCCUUCGGGAGCCUAGUAGAGUGGCAAACGGGUGAGUAACGCGUGGGUAACGUACCCUGAUCCUGGGAAUAACCCUCGGAAACGAGGGCUAAUACCGAAUGUGGCGAACGACCGGUUGGUCGCUCGCUAAAGGUGGCCUCUUCUAUGCUGCCGGGUUGGGAUCGGCCCGCGUCCCAUUAGCUAGUUGGUGAGGUAACGGCUCACCAAGGCCACGAUGGGUAGCCGGCCUGAGAGGGUGUACGGCCACACUGGCACUGAGACAAGGGCCAGUCCCCUAUGGGAGGCGCAGGCGGGAAUAGUUCACAAUGGGCGAAAGCCUGAUGACGCGACGCCGCGUGAGCGAAGAAGACCUUCGGGUUGUAAAGCUCUGUCAGGAGGGAAGAAGGCUCUACGGGUUAAUAGCCCGUGGAAUUGACGGUACCUCCAGAGGAAGCCCCGGCUAAAUACGUGCCAGCAGCCGCGGUAAUACGUAUGGGGCAAGCGUUGUCCGGAUUUACUGGGCGUAAAGGGCGCGUAGGCGGUUUGUUAAGUCGAAGGUGAAAUCCUCGGGCUCAACUCGAGAAUUGCCUUCGAUACUGGCAAACUAGAGUGGCGGAGAGGAAAGCGGAACUCUUGGUGUAACGGUGGAAUGUGUAGAUAUCAAGAGGAACACCGGUGGCGAAGGCGGCUUUCUGGACGCACACUGACGCUCAGGCGCGAAAGCGUGGGUGGCAAACAGGAUUAGAUACCCUGGUAGUCCACGCCAUAAACGAUGGGUACUAGGUGUCGGGGGUAUCGACCCCUCCGGUGCCGCAGUUAACGCACUAAGUACCCCGCCUGGGGAUUAUGGUCGCAAGGCUGAAACUCAAAGGAAUUGACGGGGCCCCGCACAAGCGGUGGAGCAUGUGGUUUAAUUCGACGCAACGCGAAGAACCUUACCUGGGCUUGACAUGCUUGGGACAGCGCUGGAAACAGCGUCUCUCCUUCGGGAGCCAUUGCACAGGUGCUGCAUGGCUGUCGUCAGCUCGUGUCGUGAGAUGUUGGGUUAAGUCCCGCAACGAGCGCAACCCUCGUUACUAGUUGCCAUCAGUUCGGCUGGGCACUCUAGUGAGACUGCCGGUGAUAACACGGAGGAAGGUGAGGAUGAUGUCAAGUCAUCAUGGCCAUUACGCCCAGGGCUACACACGUGCUACAA
rnacentral:rRNA from 1 species